rnacentral:rRNA from 1 species
AUGAUGGUCGCUAUACACCAAAAUAAAAGGCAAAACGUCAAAGCAACUCAACGCAAGAAGGAACACGAGACAAAUGGCUGGUCCGGAGAUCGGACUCCAGGAUCACGACGGGCUGCCGCGUUGUAUAUCGUCAAAAUGUUGGUCUGGAGCGCCGGUACAUUUCCGUCUCGCGGGUCCCACCCAGGUCCCAACAAACCGUUCCCCGGAAAUGUCCGUUUCAUCUCGGCCGGUAGUGUUCAGAGCUCCGUUUCCUACGUUCCUGACCUUAGGCUGGUCACAAUGGGCAGGAACAUAAGCUUAAGCUAG